rnacentral:misc_RNA from 1 species
AACCUUAUGGACCUGCGGGCGUAUACCUGCGGAGGGAUCAUUACCGAGUUUACAACUCCCAAACCCCCUGUGAACCUAUACCACGACGUUGCUUCGGCGGGUUAGCUCUGCUUUAACGCCCCGGACGCCGCGCCCCCCCAGGGGGUCGGCACCGGAACCAGGCGCCCGCCGGGGGACCCAAACUCUCCUGUAUGCCGCAACGCAUGUCUGAGUGGAUUUUUAUAUCAAAUGAAUCAAAAC